rnacentral:rRNA from 1 species
UGCGUAGGCGGCUUUGCAAGUCAGAUGUGGAAUCUAUGGGCUCAACCCAUAGCCUGCAUUUGAAACUGCAGAGCUUGAGUGAAGUAGAGGCAGGCGGAAUUCCCCGUGUAGCGGUGAAAUGCGUAGAGAUGGGGAGGAACACCAGUGGCGAAGGCGGCCUGCUGGGCUUUAACUGACGCUGAGGCACGAAAGCGUGGGUAGCAAACA